AAAGCAUUACUUAGCAUAUGAGAGCAAGGUCUGUUUCACAUCAUGUAUAAUUGGUUGAAUUUAAGACAACAC
rnacentral:ribozyme from 1 species